GGUGACGCGGAAGUUUGAGCUGCGCCUGAACUGGCCGGAGGAGGGGGAGAAGCCCGUGAGGCGGGUUCUACUCAACAGCGGCGACU
rnacentral:SRP_RNA from 1 species